rnacentral:rRNA from 1 species
UAAUACGAAGGGGGCUAGCGUUGUUCGGAAUUACUGGGCGUAAAGCGCACGUAGGCGGAUUGCCAAGUCAGGGGUGAAAUCCCGGGGCUCAACCUCGGAACUGCCUUUGAUACUGUCAGUCUAGAGUCCGGAAGAGGUGGGUGGAAUUCCUAGUGUAGAGGUGAAAUUCGCAGAUAUUAGGAAGAACACCGGUGGCGAAGGCGGCCCACUGGUCCGGAACUGACGCUGAGGUGCGAAAGCGUGGGGAGCAAACAGG